rnacentral:rRNA from 1 species
GACGUAGGGCGCGAGCGUUGUCCGGAUUUAUUGGUCGUAAAGAGCUCGUAGGCGGCUUGUCGCGUCGACCGUGAAAACUUGGGGCUCAACCCCAAGCCUGCGGUCGAUACGGGCAGGCUCGAGUUCGGUAGGGGAGACUGGAAUUCCUGGUGUAGCGGUGAAAUGCGCAGAUAUCAGGAGGAACACCGAUGGCGAAGGCAGGUCUCUGGGCCGAUACUGACGCUGAGGAGCGAAAGCGUGGGGAGCGAACAGG